CCUACGGGGGGCUGCAGUGAGGAAUAUUGGUCAAUGGGCGCGAGCCUGAACCAGCCAAGUAGCGUGAAGGAUGACUGCCCUACGGGUUGUAAGCUUCUUUUAUAAAGGAAUAAAGUGAGGCACGUGUGCCUUUUUGUAUGUACUUUAUGAAUAAGGAUCGGCUAACUCCGUGCCAGCAGCCGCGGUAAUACGGAGGAUCCGAGCGUUAUCCGGAUUUAGUGGGUGUAAAGGGAGCGUAGAUGGGUUGUUAAGUCAGUUGUGAAAGUUUGCGGCUCAACCGUAAAAUUGCAAUUGAUACUGGCAGCCUUGAGUACAGUUGAGGUAGGCGGAAUUCGUGGUGUAGCGGUGAAAUGCUUAGAUAUCACGAAGAACUCCGAUGGCGAAGGCAGCUUACUAAACUGCCACUGACAUUGAUGCUCGAAAGUGUGGGUAUCAAACAGGAUUAGAUACCCGUGUGGUC
rnacentral:rRNA from 1 species